GUAUUUGGUCGUAGACCCGAAACCAGGUGAUCUACCCUUGGUCAGGUUGAAGUUCAGGUAACACUGAAUGGAGGACCGAACCGACUUACGUUGAAAAGUGAGCGGAUGAACUGAGGGUAGCGGAGAAAUUCCAAUCGAACUUGGAGAUAGCUGGUUCUCUCCGAAAUAGCUUUAGGGCUAGCCUCAAGUGAUGAUUAUUGGAGGUAGAGCACUGUUUGGACGAGGGGCCCCUCUCGGGUUACCGAAUUCAGACAAACUCCGAAUGCCAAAUAAUUUAACUUGGGAGUCAGAA
rnacentral:rRNA from 1 species